GUGGUGGUGGUUCAGUGGUAGAAUUCUUGCUUUCCAUUCGGGAGAUCCGGGUUCGAGACCCAGCCAAUGCA
rnacentral:tRNA from 1 species